rnacentral:rRNA from 1 species
GAUGAACGCUAGCGGCAGGCCUUAUACAUGCAAGUCGGACGGGAUUGAGAAGCUUGCUUUUCAUGAGAGUGGCGCACGGGUGCGUAACACGUAUGUAACCUACCCAUAUCAGGGGGAUAGCCUCUCGAAAGAGAGAUUAAGACCGCAUAACAUUAUUGAAUGGCAUCAUUUAAUAAUCAAAUAUUUAUAGGAUAUGGAUGGGCAUGCGGAACAUUAGCUAGUUGGUAAGGUAACGGCUUACCAAGGCUACGAUGUUUAGGGGAUCUGAGAGGAUGACCCCCCACACUAGUACUGAGAAACGGACCAGACUCCGACGGGAGGCAGCAGGAAGGAAUAUUGGUCAAUGGACGGGAGUCGGAACCAGCCAUGCCGCGUGCAGGAAGACGGCCCUAUGGGUUGUAAACUGCUUUUGCAGGGGAAUAAACCUCGAUACGUGUAUCGAGCUGAAUGUACUCUGAGAAUAAGGAUCGGCUAACUCCGUGCCAGCCGCCGCGGUAA